CAGUCGCCGCGGUAAUACGAAAGGGGCUAGCGUUGUUCGGAUUUACUGGGCGUAAAGGGUGCGUAGGCGGACUGAUAAGUCAGGGGUGAAAUCCCAAGGCUCAACCUUGGAACUGCCUUUGAUACUGUUAGUCUUGAGUUCGAGAGAGGUGAGUGGAACUGCGAGCGUAGAGGUGAAAUUCGUAGAUAUUCGCAAGAACACCAGUGGCGAAGGCGGCUCACUGGCUCGAAACUGACGCUGAGGCACGAAAGCUAGGGGAGCAAAUGGGAUUAGAUACCCGCGUAGUCCCUGUCUCUUAUCC
rnacentral:rRNA from 1 species